rnacentral:lncRNA from 1 species
AAAUUUAUUUUACUAUUACUAAAAAUUGAAUCACGCUUUUAAAGUUUUAAAAACAUAAUAAUAAUUUAAUUAUUUUUAUUAAUUAGAAAUAUAAUUAUUAUCAAUAAAAUAUUGAAUUAUUAAUUUACGUAUACUAUAAUUUAUAAUUAAUAUAUGGUGAUAGUUUUAUAAAAUUAAGGACGUCAACUUUUACACACGAAAGGAUCACGUUGUAUUUUUAAAAAUUUGAGGGACUUGAUUGAAUAUAUUGUAAGAGUUAUAUUGUUGCACUGAUAAAUUAAAGAACUUGAUUAAAAAUUUUAUUAACAGAUAAUUAAAUUGAGUAAGUAAAUAAAUAAGUAAACAAACCAUUAUAUUUUACAUUUCUCUCUUAUAGAUUUGUAUGGUAUCUUAGAUAGUUAAAGAUUUGGAUCUUUAUGUUUUCAUUAUAAAGAUUUUGAGGAUUUUAUUUUAUUAAUUUUAUUUUUUUAGGAAAUGAUAUACAUAAAGUUAAGAGAAUAUUUUACAGAGUAUUACAAAUGACAAGAAUAAAGUUUUUAGUGAUAAAAAUAAAGAAUGUAAUUAACUAAUAAAUUUAAGACACAGAAUUUUCAAAUGAUUUAACUAAAUAACCAUGAGUUUAAUUGAAAUAUAUUUAUAUUAUUAAACUUCUAACCUUAAUUGCGUAAAAAAUAUUGAAAAAGAUAAGUCUUAGAUCGUAGUUUCUUUUGUACUUUCCAAACAGAAAAAAUAAAUUGUUGAAAAAUACUUAACUCGAGUAAUGUAUAGACUUAUGGAAAUUGCUUAUUGGAGAUUGAGAAAUAACAAAAUCCCGAAAAUGAUUCUCAAUAAAAAAUUAUCAUUUAGAAGCUUCAAACAACAAAAUACAUAUAUGACCUCAAAAAUCCUAAAAUGAUUAUUAUUUUAAUAUAUAAGAAUGUGUUUAUGAUUUUUUUUUAUCAACACUAUAUAUCCUCUUUUAGUUAGAUGUAUAUCUAUAAAGACUUUAGGAUAUAUGAAAUUAUUUUAAAGUUUUUAAUUAGAGAAUUUUUAGGUUUUUGCGUAAAGAUUUAAAACAAUAUGAUGGAUUCAACUUAAAAGAGAGUAUUAGUACACAAUGGUUUUACAAAACAAGGUAUGAGUACACAUGUUUUAACUACCAAUUAUUUAAUUUUUAAAUUUAGUCUCCAAAAUCUUUGUUGUUAAUUAGAUACCAAUUUAGAAAUUAUUUAACAAUGAUAGAAACUAAUUUAGACACCAUUUUUUUUUAGUUUCUAAAAUGGUCUCUAAUUUAGUUACUAUUGCAAUUAAUUAUUUUGAUUUCUAAAAAUAGGUUUAUAUUUCAUGAUUUUCUUGUAGUGUAUACUUUAUUCUACUUUUAUGUUAUAAUUUAAUAUUUUAAAUUUUAAAACACCAUUUUCGCCUCAGUUUUUAAAUUUGAAUAAAUUUAAAAUAGUAGUAAUUUUAUAUUCGAAGAUAAGAUUUUAAACUAUUUUUUAAUUGAUUCAUGAUGUGAAAUUUGUUCUAUUAGAUUAAUUUACAUGAAAAUACAUAAUCCAAUUUAUAUUAAGACAAUGAAUAGUGGUAAUUAUAUAAAAAUCACAUGAAAAUGCAUGCUCGAUAUUCUUAAUGAGCAGUGAUGAGUUGAGAUGAUUUGUUUAUCAGAGAAUGAUGGGUUUAAAUGGCCCACCAAUUUACAAGAGUUAUGGCUGAGAGGCAAUAGUUUGAGCAACGAAUUUGUUUCAUCUUUGAGUGGUCUUUCACGUCUCCAAUCCCUUGAUUUAAGUUACAAUCAAUUAGAAGGAGCAAUAAAUAUAAGUGGUCAGUAUUUUUAUGUAUUUUUUCCGCUUUAUUAUAAUAUUUUAGAAUUAAGAUUAAUUAUUCAUUUAGUUUGAAUAAUUGUACAAAUUUUAUCUUAUAGUUUAUAUUUUUAAAAUGUGAUGAAUAUAUGUUUUGUAUUUAGAAAUUAUGCAUACAAUUUUAUUUCUUAAACUAUUAUAGUUAAAAGAUAUAGAGAUUUACGUUUAUUAGUACAUUUAAGAUAUAUCUAUUAAUUUAAUUUAUGAGAUGAAAAGUGAAUAAAUAACCAAUUGUUUAUUAAAUUUUUUAAUUUUUAAAAAAUAAAAACAAGCAAUUAUUUCUUUUAAAAUAAAUUUAAUAAAUAAUUGAUUUUUUAUUUUCUUUUCAUCUCAUAAUUAAUAAAUAUAUCUUAAAUGUACUAAAUAAACGUAAAUCUCCUAUAUCUUUUGACUAUACUAGUUUAAGAAAUAACUGUAUACAUAAUUUCUAUAUACAAAACCUAAAACAAGAAAAUGUAAUAUAUUUCUAUGUAUAAAGUUUUCAUGUUCUGAGCUUACACUAAGAAUCCAACUCAACAUUAAAUAAGUGAAUUAGUUAAUUUUGUUUACCUCUAUUUCAACCUCUAAGAAAAGAUUUCACAACUAAAUUAAGUUAGACCUAGAAAAAUUAAAUUGAGUAAGUAAAUAAAUAAAAAAACAAAAACCUUUAUAUUUUACAUUUGUCUCUUAUAGAUUUGUAUGGUAUCUUAGAUAGUCAAAGACUUGGAUCUUUAUGUUUUCAUUAUAAAGAUUUUGAGGAUUUUAUUUUAUAUUUUUAGGAAAUGAUUUAUCUAAAGUUAAGAGAAUAUUUUACAGAGUAUUACAAAUGACAAGAAUAAAGUUUUUAGUGAUAAAAAUAAAGAAUGUAAUUAACUAAUAUAUUUAAGACACAGAAUUUUCAAAUGAUUUAACUAAAUAACCAUGAGUUUAAUUAAAAUAUAUUUAUAUUAUUAAACUUCUAACCUUAAUUGCGUAAAAAAUAUUGAAAAAGAUAAUCUUAGAUCGUAGUUUCUUUUGUACUUUCCAAACAGAAAAAAAAAAUUGUUGAAAAAUACUUAACUCGAGUAAUGUAGAGACUUAUUGGAGAUUGAGAAAUAAGAAAAUGAUUCUCAAUAAAAAAUUACCAUUUAGAAGCUUCAAACAACAAAACACAUAUAUGAC